rnacentral:rRNA from 1 species
CCUACGGGCGGCAGCAGUGAGGAAUAUUGGUCAAUGGACGAGAGUCUGAACCAGCCAAGUAGCGUGAAGGAUGACUGCCCUAUGGGUUGUAAACUUCUUUUAUAUGGGAAUAAAAUGUUCCACGUGUGGGAUUUUGUAUGUACCAUAUGAAUAAGGAUCGGCUAACUCCGUGCCAGCAGCCGCGGUAAUACGGAGGAUCCGAGCGUUAGCCGGAUUUAUUGGGUUUAAAGGGAGAGUAGGUGGAUUGUUAAGUCAGUUGUGAAAGUUUGCGGCUCAACCGUAAAAUUGCAGUGGAAACUGGCAGUCUUGAGUACAGUAGAGGUGAGCGGAAUUCGUGGUGUAGCGGUGAAAUGCUUAGAUAUCACGAAGAACUCCGAUUGCGAAGGCAGUUCACUGGACUGCAACUGACACUGAGGCUCGAAAGUGUGGGUAUCAAACAGGAUUAGAUACCCGGGUAGUC